ensembl:antisense 1110002L01Rik RIKEN cDNA 1110002L01 gene
CAUGGUCUGUGGGUCGGAUGUCUGGCGGUCACACCCGCCGGGAAGAUCUUCUGGCGGAAACAGAAUCUGCUCCUUUCGGGAAAGGCUGAUUGCGCGGUUACGUGCAGCGUGUGUUGAGGAGUGGCUCUGGAAACUUAAAGAGCCCGACGAUCAAGUGAUCUUGCCAACUACCGUUUUAAUCAGCAUGUUUUAUUUUGUUGUGGUACAGGCUCAGGCAUGCUAUUUCAAGCUUGUCAUCAUAUUCAUGGAGGCAGAGACAGGAGAAUUGCUAUUAGGUCCAUGCCAGCCUGGCCUACACAAGCCCAAUGCAAGCCCUGGCAGAUGUCUUCAACACCAGAGUGACACUCAGCCUGAAGGCCAGGAUUGAAGACUGGAAGUACAGGGGCAAGAAAUACCUUUGAAAAUACUCCAGUGUCCAGACUGCUCACUGGUGUUGCUGCCUUGUGAGCCAGGGCACGAGGCUUUGUUGAGGUCACUACUUUUCAUUCCCUCCAAGAUGGACAAGAUGUUUGUUUUGUGCACAGUAAGUGGAACACAGGGCCUCCGGCAUGGUGCUUGUAUGUUCCCUUCAGAAACUAAGGAAUGG